GGAGAGUGAGGAAAAGAUAAACAAUUUGAAGAUAAAUUUAUUUCAUCUGUUACUUCUUUCUUGCCGUGUUUGAAUUUUGUUUAUAGUAAACUUAUAUUUCAAGCUUUCUCAAAAGCUAGAGGCGGGGAAAUUUCAAAUUUGUGGGUAAGAAUUGAGAGAAUGGUGUUUCAAUUUGUGGGUAAGAAUUGGGCCAAUGGUGUUUAAGGUCUUCUAUUUUAUUAUCUCUUACUCUUACUGUUUUAUCCAUUGCAAGUUAUUUGUAACACAAUAAUUUGACCUCAAACAGAUGGAUUGUCGAGCUUAUUGUAAUUAGAGCCCAUUAAAUUGUACAAUAGGAAUUUGACCUCAAUAAGAUGGAUUGAUGAGCAUGGACUGUUGUAUGUAUAGCUGCUUUAUGUGUUGCAUGAUUGAAUUUUCAACAUGGGCUGAGGAGGCUUGUGCAUUUAUUUAUUUAUAAGUUUAAAUUGCAUUCAUUGUUCAGUUGUACCCAUGGAUCUUUUUAGUUAUCAAAUUUGUGUAGUGACUAGACUGGGGAGGUUUAAUUGAUAAAUGUAGAUAUAAAUGCCAUUUAUUGAAAUAUGGGGGAUGCUUUUACCUGCAGAA
rnacentral:misc_RNA from 1 species